rnacentral:lncRNA from 1 species
UUCAACAAUAAUAAUAUAUGAAAAAUAAAACAAACGAAAAUGAUACCGUCAUGGGCGGUCUGUUGCGGCGCUCCUCGCCUAGCAAGAAAAACAAUUAUGUUUUGGCGUGGCGAGACUGAGUUCCAUUGCGGUAGUCAUCGCGGAAUAUGCUUCAACCUGAAAUAUUAGUUGGCGGCUUCUAUCUCGCCGAGUGAUAAUUAUUGAAUUUUCAUGUUAAUUUUCCACAUUUGUUCGUUGUCCUGCACUAUGAUUAACAUCAAUGAAUCAAAAUAGAAAUCAUAUAUGAAUAAACUAAAUUUCCUAAUCAAGAUUUCAAAAGAAUAAAUUUCAAAGAAGGUGACAUUAUAGCAAAUGCUUCAAGUAUCUGCACUAAAAACAGGUCGGUUAAUAAUAAGUCUCAUAUACUCCAUUAGUUUUGC